UUUGCAUUGCCAAAAGAGCAGCUGACCUCAGUGGUUGCCAGGCAACAUUGUCCACAUCCAAGCUGUCGCCCAGCGGCCUUGUGGCAUCUGCAAUGACUCAAGGCUGGGAAGCUUGGUGCAGCUCGGGCCAGGCACUGGAGCACAAGGCUAACAGGAUACGUGCAGCGUCCUGAGCACUAUUGGCCAAGAUCAGGCCUGAAGUGAACUCUUGUGGCUUGAAGAUUCCCGAGCAACAGCAGCCCCUUUUUGAGAAGUGGGAUAAUUUGUUUUUGGCAAAACACUGUUUCUUUUUUCGAGGGUGAGAAGAAAAAGAGUGUGGGAAAAGCUUUGGAAAUCUUGCAAGACCUCUUGGACACGGACUAUGUGUUACCAAACAUAUUUUUGACGAGUUAUGUGUUAACCAACCAAAAACAGACAGAUUGUCUUUCCCAUGUCGGCUUCAAAAUGCAGCAGGGUAAGUGCCAUUGCUGAACACCCUGAGAAGCUGCCGAACCCUGUCAUUUUCAAAAGCUUGUCAAAAAGCCCAGAGCACGAAAGGCCAGAACGGAGUUGCCUGUCCCUUUCUGCAGGAUGUGUGCAGCCUUCUGGGAGACAAAAAGGGAAAAAAAUGAACAAUACCAAAUCAAAGAGUUCCAGCUGUCAGUGAAGGGUGGUCCAGAAUAAAACUUUCAAAGGAGAAAGAUAUUCGUUUUUAAAGCAUAAUGAGUUCUCUUUGUCAUUGAAAAUUCAUCCAAAGACGUAUUUCAUGACUACUUUUGACAGGCAAUGAUCUGAAUAUUUGAUGUACAGAGAUAUUUCUCACCCUCCAAAAGCUCUUAAGUACUCCCUGAGGAAUUGGUGCCAUAAGCAGGUGGCACCUUUACUCUGAUGAUUACUUCCUUUAACUGCGUAGAAGGUCACAGUCUAUCUCUAUGAAGGAAAUCAGGGAAGGAACUCAACCCAAGCCUGCUUAUAUUCCACACAGCAUGGCCUGUGUCAAUCAAGAAGUCAGCAGAAACUAUGGAGAAUUCUGUCCAUCUGUCAGCAAGAUCAGAUAGCUUUUUAUGUUUCCCAGGCCCACCAGGCCAGAGGAUAACACUGUCCACAGUGGCCUUGGCCUUUUCCUACAUCAAUUAACAAUCGAGACAAUCCUUCACAGACGAAUCUGAUCUAGACAGUUCUUCUACCCAGAUUUGCCUCUCAGAUGAUUCCAGGAUGAAUUAAAUGGACAAUUACAGUUAACCAGAACAAAGAUGUGACUAUCACUCUGCAGAAGACUGUCUUUGCAGAAAUUGGAGACCUUCACAGAAAAUCACACUUGACACAUGUAGAGAUCAACAUUUGAAGGUGAGCCCAGCCAUGAUGGGUACAUCUGCAGAACAGCUCCUGCACCUAUAGCCCAGGGAACAUCAUGGAAGAGAGGAAGAAAGAUGGUAAAAGCCAGAAUAUCUGGAAGUCAUGGUCUCUUCUAGAAAUGGCAGCAUAAAAAAAUUUAAAAAUUGAAACAAAAAAUCCAGAACAACUGUCUCCUCCAGCAAGCAAGUUACCAAAGGAAAAAAUGCCAAGUUGAAGAAGAUGGCCCUGGCUCCCACCAUUGUGAAGAAAGAGGAGCCCAAAAAGGUGCUAAAUCCUUUGAUUGAGAAAAGCUUAAGAACUUCAGCACUGGGCAGGACAUCCAGUUCAAAAGAGGUCUCACUGGCUUCCUCAAAUAGCCCCACUAUCUCAGGCUGAAAUGGCAAAGGUCCAUCCUCUAAAGUGGCUCAGAGUACCUCCUGCCAUUAACCAGCUCCCCCAGGCCCAGGACUGGCAAACAGCUGCUUAAACUUACCCACAAGAACAGGCCAUAGACAAAGCAGGAGAAGUAAAGGCUCCUGGCGUAUGUUGAGAAGAAAGUUGCUGGCAAAUGGUACAUCCCAACUAAGAGACCUUUGAUCUUUGACCUCUACCUUUGAUCAAGGUCAAUACAGCACCACCUUACAGGAGAAAAAGAAGACUGAGCUGAUAGUAAUUGCCCAUGAUGUAGAUCUCAUUGAGCUGGUGGUCUUCCUGCCUGCCCUGUGUUGAAAGAUGACAGCUGCCUCAUGCUCCUGUGGACAAAUCCCUAACCAUUAGGGGCUGAGCCCCUCAAAUUGUGAGCCCCUCAAACUAUAAGCCCAAAUAAACUCUUUUCUCCUUAAAAAUUUUUUUUAAAAAAGAAAGAUGGAAGUCCCCUACUGUAUCAUCAAGGGAAAGGCCAGGGACAUCUGGCCCACAAGAAGACAUUCUCCACUGUUGUCUUCACGCAGGUUAAUUUGGAAGGCAAGGAUGCUCUGGGUAAGCUGGUGGAGGUAUUGGGAUCAAUUACAAUGACAGAUACAAGAGAUCCACCACCAGUGGGGAGGCAAUGUCCUGGGUCUUAAAUCUGUGCCUGUCAAACUGGAAAAGGCAAAAGCCCAAGAACUCAUCACUAAACUGGACUAUAUGUACACUACUAAGUUUUCUGUACAUGUAAUUACAAAAUUAUAUGCCAUAAAAAAUAAAAUCCAGAAUAGUGGCAUUAUCAGUAAGUAUGCUAAUGCAAAAGGAAUGGUUCUCACCCCUAGAUAUGCACCUAAAUCUUAAGUAUAUGUUAAGUAUACAGAAAUGUUAAAGUUAAAGGAACAAAUAUAUUCUAUAAAGCCACAAUUCAAAACAAGGUGACAUACAGUAUUAGUAUCAGACAGAAUUUACAUCAAGCAAAACAGUUUACUAAGAAUAAAUAGUGGACAUGAUGUAUUCACAAUAGAGCAAUCAUUAUGAGUUUAAUAGCUAUUCAAAUUUGCAUGUGUCCAGCCAAAACUACUCAAAAUAUAGAAAUCUUAAAUUAAAAUAAGGAGAUAAUAGCAGAUUAUGAAGAAAUUAGCGUAAUUACACCAGAAAUCGAGUUUAAGUCUAUAAAUCUCCAGGUAGAAGAGACUCUUUGAACAAUUACAUAGUGUAUAUCAAGAAACUGAGUAUCCUGAAUUUAUCUUAUUGCAAGUCCUGCAGCGAACAGAUACAGAACACGUUUUUGUUUUUGUUUUGUUUUGUUAACCCUUAUAACUUUGAAACGGCAAAUGAAUGUUCCUUGGAAUAUUUCUUUUAAACAUAUGUUUUCACCUUCUUUUCCCUGCAUUGCAUGUUCUAUGACUUAUGUCUUCCAUGUGUCUACUGACGAAUCAUCCACCGAGUCAGAGGAUGUCUGCUGUGGCUGUGAUUUGAGACUGAUGCAUCUCCUGGGACAAUCCCAACUUGACCUAUGUCUUCCUCUUCAGUGUUUGAGGAGUCAUUAGAUGCAGAUUAAGUCACCCUGAUGUGAAUUAAAUUUAAACUUGUGGCCCAGA